UACGUAGGGGGCAAGCGUUGUCCGGAAUCAUUGGGCGUAAAGCGCGUGUAGGCGGUUACGUAAGUCUGCUGUGAAAGUCGGAGGCUCAACCUUCGAAAGCCGGUGGAUACUGCGUGACUAGAGUACGGAAGAGGAGAGUGGAAUUCCUGGUGUAGCGGUGAAAUGCGCAGAUAUCAGGAGGAACACCAACGGCGAAGGCAGCUCUCUGGGACGUGACUGACGCUGAGACGCGAAAGCGUGGGGAGCAAACAGG
rnacentral:rRNA from 1 species